ACGGGGGACGGGAUAAUUACAAGCAGCAGCAUGUAUGCAUUAGGUGCUGGCAGUCCCAAGGGGACGCAUUAAUGCUAGACUGGAGCCGGAGGAGCGUGACAGCCAUGUGACCGAGGAGGGGCUGGAAGCAGGGCAGAGCAAAGACAGAGGCUGAUGCGCGGAACAAGAGAAGAACGGGAAGCAGGUGUGUCACUCAUGGUCUUUGUUUUGGGAAGGAUUUCAGUUUUGAAACGAUGAGACUGCUAAGACUAUUAGGUUCGAUUGAGAAUAAGUUCAUAUUCAUGCAUCAUUUAGGAGAACCCCUGAGAUAUGAUGAAAAGAAGAUUCUGAAAAAUUAACAUCUUCUUCAUUGGGAUUUCAGUUUCAUAAUCAGCUUGUCUACAUCUACACAAACGCCUGCUGAUAUUCUGGCUGUGAUCAUAGUAAAUCUGUAGACUCAUUUCGGGGAAAAGAGCAUCUUGACUCUAUUGAGCCUCCCAGUUUAUGGCUCCAGCAGAACCUGAGUCCAGACGGAACUUUCCACCAUCCUCAGCUGAGCCGGGACCUCCUUCCCCCCGUAAAGGGGUCGCACCACCGCUGUUACACGAGGCGUAUGCUGCCAGCAGACUCCGAUUCACGUCACAGCCCCACCGAACUGGAGGGUGACACGCAAGCUCUUUGAGCUCUCGUGCUCACAUCUGUCAAGAGACAUAGCACCGUCUAUAUCCCUGAUGUGGGCAGGUCCAAUGAGGAAAUGUAUAUAAAACUACCUAACACCCACCGAGGGUACGAAAUUAAUCCUCAAAGCAAGAUAACGUAACUUCUCUUCCUGAAAAUCUAGGUCAUAAUUUUCCAGAGUGCUCUACAGAACACCCAUUCUGUGAAACGGUGGUUUGGGGGCUGGGGCGGGGGAGGAGACAAGAAUUCUGUGGUCAAAAACAUCUGGGCUCAUGCUGACAGGUACCUGAACUUACACUUGAGGACUCACAGCUCUUAUUGGCAUGUUUAGGGCUCCGAAGAUAUUUUAUUGUAAUAAAAUCACAGUCACUUUA